CCUACGGGAGGCAGCAGUGGGGAAUAUUGCACAAUGGGCGAAAGCCUGAUGCAGCGACGCCGCGUGAGGGAUGACGGCCUUCGGGUUGUAAACCUCUUUCAGCAGGGAAGAAGCGAAAGUGACGGUACCUGCAGAAGAAGCGCCGGCUAACUACGUGCCAGCAGCCGCGGUAAUACGUAGGGCGCAAGCGUUGUCCGGAAUUAUUGGGCGUAAAGAGCUCGUAGGCGGCUUGUUGCGUCGGUUGUGAAAGCCCGGGGCUUAACCCCGGGUCUGCAGUCGAUACGGGCAGGCUAGAGUGUGGUAGGGGAGAUCGGAAUUCCUGGUGUAGCGGUGAAAUGCGCAGAUAUCAGGAGGAACACCGGUGGCGAAGGCGGAUCUCUGGGCCAUUACUGACGCUGAGGAGCGAAAGCGUGGGGAGCGAACAGGAUUAGAUACCCUGGUAGUCCACGCCGUAAACGUUGGGAACUAGGUGUUGGCGACAUUCCACGUCGUCGGUGCCGCAGCUAACGCAUUAAGUUCCCCGCCUGGGGAGUACGGCCGCAAGGCUAAAACUCAAAUGAAUUGACGG
rnacentral:rRNA from 1 species